GCCUGAUCCAGCAAUGCCGCGUGUGUGAAGAAGGCCUUCGGGUUGUAAAGCACUUUUGUCCGGAAAGAAAACCUCUGGGUUAAUACCUCGGGGGGAUGACGGUACCGGAAGAAUAAGCACCGGCUAACUACGUGCCAGCAGCCGCGGUAAUACGUAGGGUGCGAGCGUUAAUCGGAAUUACUGGGCGUAAAGCGUGCGCAGGCGGUUUUGUAAGACCGAUGUGAAAUCCCCGGGCUUAACCUGGGAACUGCAUUGGUGACUGCAAGGCUAGAGUAUGGCAGAGGGGGGUAGAAUUCCACGUGUAGCAGUGAAAUGCGUAGAGAUGUGGAGGAAUACCGAUGGCGAAGGCAGCCCCCUGGGCCAAUACUGACGCUCAUGCACGAAAGCGUGGGGAGCAAACAGGAUUAGAUACCCUGGUAGUCCACGCCCUAAACGAUGUCAACUAGUUGUUGGGGAUUCAUUUCCUUAGUAACGUAGCUAACGCGUGAAGUUGACCGCCUGGGGAGUACGGUCGCAAGAUUAAAACUCAAAGGAAUUGACGGGGACCCGCACAAGCGGUGGAUGAUGUGGAUUAAUUCGAUGCAACGCGAAAAACCUUACCUACCCUUGACAUGUACGGAAUCCUGCUGAGAG
rnacentral:rRNA from 1 species